rnacentral:rRNA from 1 species
GACGAACGCUGGCGGCGUGCCUAAUACAUGCAAGUCGAGCGAACAUUUGAGAGCUUGCUCUCAAAUGUUAGCGGCGGACGGGUGAGUAACACGUGGGCAACCUGCCUAUAAGACUGGGAUAACUUCGGGAAACCGGAGCUAAUACCGGAUAAUUCACAUCUACUCAUGUAGAUGUGCUGAAAGAUGGCUUACGCUGUCACUUAUAGANGGGCCCGCGGCGCAUUAGCUAGUUGGUGAGGUAACGGCUCACCAAGGCCACGAUGCGUAGCCGACUGAGAGGGUNAUCGGCCACACUGGGACUGAGACACGGCCCAGACUCCUACGGGAGGCAGCAGUGGGGAAUCUUGCGCAAUGGGCGAAAGCCUGACGCAGCGACGCCGCGUGA